rnacentral:pre_miRNA from 1 species
AAAAGCUUUAAAUCAAUAGUUGUAAGGUGAACUAAUAAUGUAGUAUAAGGUUACUAUUAGUAACCUUAUGAUCAUUAUUCGUAAUAUGACAAUGGUUAAAGAUAGA